CGUCACUGCACCCACGUGGACUUCAUCGAAUCAUGGAGAGAAGCAGGUUGUGCUCCACAUCUGCCGCCAAAGAUGAAGAAUGUUGAGGACCUCAAGCCUUUCAGGGAGUUUCUCUUGACCGGCGUCUUUGACUCCAGCUGGUCAAAGAUUGACAAACAAGAUUUGCUGCUCGCAGCUUUAUAUUGAAAGAUGGCAGGAUGUUCUACGCUGGAACUAAUGGGCAAUAUCUUCGUUUGGUGGUGUUCACUGAGGAGCAAAAGAGCUCUGUCCUCCACGAAUGCCACGAUGGUCCAGGGACAGGAAACCAUCGUGGUGUGAGAGCCAGCAGAGACAAGGUAGUUGCUGGUUAUUACUGGUCAACUUUAAAGGAGGACGUGUGUGACUGGCUGAGGUGCUGCCAUCGAUGCCAACUCAAUGAUCCCAUUAGUACACAGACACCAACGUUGCAUCCCAUCAAGGUGGGGUGCAUCACAUUUUUGCUCAGUGAAAUGCAAUAAAAUGAUCACAAAAUGUAUAAAUUGCUGUUAUUCGGCUGGGUUAGCGAAGCGUGGGCUGUGGUUGGCUUGGAGCUCAUUGGCCCUCUCUCUCCCUGAGACUGCUCCAGGCCAGAAGUCUAUCCUGACGAUGACAGACCUCCACACCAAGUGGCUUGUUGCUCAGCCACUGUGCAGCAAGAGUGCAGGUGAGGUGUGUUCUGCCGUGGUCAACAAGCUGGAUUCCUACGGCACGGUCAGGACAACCAUCACUGAUCAAGGAGAGGAGUUAAGGAUGAAAGAAUACACAAGUCUUGAAGUAUUGACUCUUGUUGUUUAUAAUCAUUCCUGUUCAUUACAAUCCACAGCUAAACUCCAGCAUCUUCAGGAUUUUGAACAUCAAAUCUAUCA